GCCUCCAGGCUGAUUGGGGGCAUCAGCAAAGGGAACGUCAGCCUCUCCACGGCCAUCGUUGCUGACCUGGGCUCGCCUCUGGCACGCAGUCAAGGCAUGGCGGUCAUUGGGGUGGCCUUCUCACUGGGCUUCACCCUGGGCCCUAUGCUCGGAGCCUCCCUGCCCCUGGAAAUGGCACCCUGGUUUGCCCUGCUCUUCGCAGCCUCCGACCUGCUGUUCAUCUUCUGCUUCCUGCCAGAGACGCUGCCCCUGGAGAAACGGGCGCCCUCUAUGGCCCUGGGGUUCCGUGAUGCGGCUGAUCUGCUCAGCCCCCUGGCCCUGCUGCGCUUCUCGGCUGUCGCUCGUGGCCAGGACCCACCCUCUGGAGACAGUAAGGACUCGACCAACCCAAGCGUGGAGCCUGCUCUCCCCUGGGCUUCCCCGGGCGGCGCCCUUCCCUGCUGUGGUCGCCUUCUCAGCACGCGCCACCUCUCCCCAGGGCUCAGCAGCCUGCGCCGCCUGGGCCUAGUCUACUUCCUCUACCUCUUCCUGUUCUCGGGCCUGGAGUACACGCUGAGCUUCCUCACACACCAGCGCUUCCAGUUCAGUAGGCCCUCCUGCUGCUGGUGCCUGCCUUCCUCCUCAUCGGCUGGGGACGUUCUCUGCCCGUGCUGGGCCUGGGGCUGCUGCUCUACUCCUUUGCCGCCGCCGUUGUGGUGCCCUGCCUGUCCUCCGUGGUCGCUGGCUAUG
rnacentral:sRNA from 1 species